GACGAACGCUGGCGGCGUGCUUAACACAUGCAAGUCGAACGGAAAGGCCCUGCUUUUGUGGGGUGCUCGAGUGGCGAACGGGUGAGUAACACGUGAGUAACCUGCCCUUGACUUUGGGAUAACUUCAGGAAACUGGGGCUAAUACCGGAUAGGAGCUCCUGCUGCAUGGUGGGGGUUGGAAAGUUUCGGCGGUUGGGGAUGGACUCGCGGCUUAUCAGCUUGUUGGUGGGGUAGUGGCUUACCAAGGCUUUGACGGGUAGCCGGCCUGAGAGGGUGACCGGCCACAUUGGGACUGAGAUACGGCCCAGACUCCUACGGGAGGCAGCAGUGGGGAAUAUUGCACAAAGGGCGGAAGCCUGAUGCAGCAACGCCGCGUGCGGGAUGACGGCCUUCGGGUUGGAAACCGAUUUCGCCUGUGACGAAGCGUGAGUGACGGUAAUGGGUAAAGAAGCACCGGCUAACUACGU
rnacentral:rRNA from 1 species